AAAAUUAUAUAAAAUCUAAUAUUUGCCUAUAUAAAUGAAUUAAAUGUAAUUUACUUUUCUUAUUUUAAUUAACUAUCAGGCAUUUUAAAAAUAAUAUUUUGUAUUCUGGUUAAAUUCUCUAGAAGAUUAUGCAAAACAGGCAAUAUAAAGUAAUGAAUGCAGAUCGAGUCGAGUCGAAUAUCUGUUUACUUUUAAGAGUGGAAAAAUUACACGUAAUUGAACUUCAUUAACAUAAUUUUCUAAGAGAAAAUUUAAAACGAUGGUUUUUAUAAUAAUAGAUUUUAACUAGAAACCAUUAAAAUAGUAAUUACGUUUUUCAUUACUGAAUACAUUGUUAAGAUCAAAAGUAAUUUUUUAAGUAAUAAUCUGAAUUCAUCGAGAAUUUUUUUUUUUUUUUAAUUUUUACGUCAUCUACCCAUUUUUUUUUUUUUUUCUUCUCUACUGUUUACUAUGAAGAUUUUAGCAGUAGCUUUUUUCCUCAGAUGAUAAUGCAGAACUCCAUACAGUCCGGUAUCUAGGAUCACUAGCAUCUGCGAUGGGACUGUAUACGGUCCGGUAUCUAGGACCACUAGCAUCUGCGAUGGGACUCCACAUGGUCCGGUAUAUAGGUUCACUAGCAUCUGCGAUGGGACUUCACAUGGUCCGGUAUAUAGGUUCACUAGCAUCUGCGAUGGGACUCUAUACGGUCCAGUAUUUAGAAUCAUUAGGAUCUGCGAUGGGACUCUAUACAGCCCAGUAUCCGUAUGGAGUCCCAUCGCAGAUCCUAGUGAUGGAUUUGGCACCGCCAGUGGUCCCGGUUCCGUAUAGGGAACCGCGAUGAGACCCCAGUGACGUACGCGUCAACCACCGAAUGGUACUAGUUGACCUCUUUAAUCGCAUUUUAUGGCACGCGAGACCGGACAAUGAUAAUAUUCUAACCCACAGGGGAUCACCAACCCACUAAAGUUAAAAUUUAUGCGAUUUUUCAAGAUAUAUUAGAAUAAUGGAAAUAAAUUACUCAGAUUCUGAUUUACGAUCUUUAAAUUACUCAGUCACCCAUAGGUUAAGGAACCCAGCAUUAAUCAAUAAAUAAAUUUUGCUUUAUAUAAGAUAAAUGGCGAGUGUAUCAGCCAAGAAGACAGCAAAUGCAUGUAAUUACAGUUGUAACUUAAUUAAAUAAUUAAGGUUAAAGGAUUUGGAUAUAAUUAAAAGACUCAUAACGAAUAAAUCAUUGAACUAGUAAAAAGAAAACACAAUUUCCUUAUUUGUAGUAGACAUUGAAGAUACCUUAAGCGGAUAUAACCUGUAAAGCAUAACAAGAAAGUGAUGACAUAUAUAAUAUCGAAUAAAGAAUAUAAAAAUAUAAGAAAAAUUUAAAGAAUCGAAAUAAAUAAUUAAAUUACCUAUUAAAAUGCGUGGGAUUUUUCAUUAAAACUUUCAUUAAAUUAAA
rnacentral:lncRNA from 1 species